CCUGUAUCCCCUUGGGGAAGGACGAGAACCUUCGACCAAGGCUCGAAUUGAGCGCAGCGAAAUAACAAUGCAUGCAGGGCGAGGAACGAAGUGACAAGUCAUUCUUCCCCCACCAUUU
rnacentral:sRNA from 1 species